GCCAAAACUGAGACAGAUAACAUCCUAGUCCAUGCCUGUGGUCCAUGUCAGAAUUUUCUGGUUCUACCCAUCUGCCGGCCAUCUUCUCUGUCUCCGUCUCCAGAGGGGAUCCGGCUGAGCAGCGCCUGCUUUUUGACUUGGCUGAAGGAACAGACCACAGCCACUCUACCCGCCCCUCUGGGAAGACAGUCACGGCAGUUCUCUGUUCCACUGGCACUGAACUACAGUCUGGGUUCUGGAAAAUACACAUAGAGAUGCCCAGUAAUACAAUAUUGAGGAAUUGCAAGCCCUGUUCCCAUCCCCUUUCAAGAUGCAGAGGUGAGCAGAAUGGACCGCCCUUGAAAGGCCUUGCGACUGGGACGAAUGCCCACAGUGUCUGGAGAUGUGAAGCAGUGCAGAAUUUAUUCCUGGAAGCAGCUCCCUGCUGCGGACUUUACUUCUGUCUUGGCUGUGUUUAGCAGGACUCUGUGCUGGGUCCCUGG
rnacentral:lncRNA from 1 species